CCCUCCGUUCCCUCCCUCCCCUCCCUUCUCUCCGAUAGGUUAAACUGAAACAAACACGGGAAAGUACAGCCGAGUAAGACUGAGGUGGUGCGUCACGUGCAGGGGACACAGGAGAUACGGUGUACCUGAACACGGUGAUCUAGAUUGUUCUGCUCUUAUGGUUCCAGGUGCAUGUAAAACCAUCAGCUGUUGUAUCAGGAUGUGAGAUGCGGCCACGCCUCAAAACAUCGUAGAAGAGGGAACAAACCCAAGCAAGCCACCCACGUGGUUACCAAAGAGUGUGCGUGUAGUGGAUCAUAUUAUGUUAUAUGUAUAUUAGUAGAACAUGAAUAUUUCUGUUGUAUAAUUGUAAUAGUAAAUAUUAGUGUAGUAAAGAUGCAUGAGUCCUACCCCCUCCCCCAACACACACACACAAACACACGGAUCUUGAUGGGUUUUUCCUUUUGUUUGUUUUUUUGUUGUCCCUUUUUGGUGUUUCGAGGCUGUAAAUUACGCUUGAGUGCUAAGUGUUGUAUAAUAAGAGUUUACACUCAGCCUAAAGUGCUUCAUAAUUGAGCCGCGGUGACAACACGAGCGGUGAACACGCACUUCCUGAAAGGACGAGGCGCCACGAUGGGGUCAGCACGUACAGCCAUCGGGAACAGUGUAGGCCAUGUCCCAAUCCAAUAUAACGCAGUUUUCCCUGCUCCUGUGAUGAUUUGUCUGGACUCCAUCGUGCUCAGGUGCUGCUAUCCGUUUCGGAUACGACAAUCCGUCCGUCCGUCUCUGCGUAAUCAGACGCUCGGAUUCAGCAGCACGAGAACCAUCACGGAGCAAUAAGAUGGCUAUGAGGCCGCGUCGGCCAUCUGCUUUCCCCUUUUAUUAAGUUGUUGGAGUCGAUACGCUUGUUUGGAGUGGACUUUCACACCCCUCUGAUCCCAGGUCCCAGUUCACUCUUGGUGUGUUUACUCAGAAGAACGUCAGAACAUCCGUCAAAGCACAAAGCACAGUGGAGAGGAAGAGGAGCAAAGGACGAGGAUGACGUAAAGUUGAGGAAAAGCAGAAGAAGGAAGGAGUCAGGUUUGUGGUCUUGGACAACCGAGUCCUUUAACGCUAAUUUUAUCCAGAAGAUUUAGCACGCUUUUACGCAGUUAAUAACGAGGCCAUAGAAAUGAAAAAUAUACAGAAUAGAAAUAUAACCAAUUUUCUCCUCCAUCUUUAAUGUUUAUAUACGUGUUUUAAAUGUAUUGAUAAUGUUCUUGACUUGCUUCUGGUUGUAAUUACUGCCGCCAUUUUUUAUGUUAUUGUAUCUACAAGCUAACACUGAUGUGUCCACUCAUAACCUACUCUAACUGCAUAGUCUAGAGUAACUAGGAAAAUUACCGUAACUUCUGUUGUUGCAGAGCUACCGUAAAACCCUGAACCAGUGCACAAAUCCAAUAAGGUUUAUGAACACAUCAUAUUUAUUACACAUUGCACCCUGGUAGUUUACUCCAGCAGUCACUGUAGUUUCUUUGUAUUUAGUGUAUUUACGGUAGCUGUGUUACUCCAGCAGUUACGGUAGUUUCUUUGUGUUUUAGUGUAUUUACGGUAGCUGUGUUACUCCAGCAGUUACGGUAGUUUCUUUGUGGUUUAGUGUAUUUACAGUAGCUGUGUUACUCCAGCAAUUACGGUAGUUUUUUUUUUGUUUAGUGUAUUUACGGUAGCUGUGUUACGGUAGCUGUGUUACUCCAGCAGUUACGGUAGUUUCCUCUUGUUUUUGUGUAUUUAUGGUACGGUCAGUGUAUUUGGUUUAGUGUAUUGUAUAAAACUGGCCAGAAACCAGAGCCAUAAGCGUACCUAGCAUAAAAUAAAAUGAUGCCACGUCCACAUGUUUGUGUGUAAAACAACACUUGAUUGUUAGUAAUUCUUUUGUAGUUUUCAUGAAGUACGUUAUUUCUGAAGCACAAAUAUAUAUCAAUACAUCUUAUAAAUAUACAUACGUGUCAAAAACAAAUCAUGAAUCGAAAUUCAACGAACAAACAUAAAUCGAUAAAUAGAUUUACAGACAUGAAAUGAAACCACGACAAAUAAUCCAUGCGAACAGGAAAACCAGUCACGCUCAAAUCAUUUCAUCCACAGGCUCUUUAUUGAUAUUUUUUUUUACAGCAGGUGAUCAAUUUUACUCCGAUACAUGAUAAGAAACAAUGCUGUUAUGAUAGAUAAAUAUACGCACAUCUGAUUUCUCCUUGGUUAUAUCAGUUUUUUAAAACUCGGCUGAGAAAACUGAAAUUUGCUUUCCGACGUUCCAGCAGGUUUUACACCGAAGCUUUACACUUAAUUUUUUUUUAAAAUACAUUUUCACUGAACUGUUGGUUUAAGUGUUUUUUAAAUUUAUUUAUUUGAAAGUAAAAUACUCUGCAAUAUUCUCACAAAAAAUACUAAGAAAUGACUAUCGUAAAUUGAAAUUUGUAUAGAUUUCAUCACUGAAUGUCGUAUAUCGUGUGUGUGUGUAUACCAAUUAUCGCCUCGUGUCUAAUACGAGUCAUGCUAACUACUUGUGAAGAUAUAAACAAACGGUGGCGUAAAGCUGAUGCACGAAUAUGGCUUAAUUAACUCGAUAAACCUGAUCAGCACGUCCAUCAUUUUUCUCGUUUCUAACACAAAUAAGAUGUAUAGGUUUUACUAUAGCACUAGAUAAUAUUAAACAUCGUUUGUUUCUAGGUUCUUAGUCAGUAUACGGUUUUCGACACUUCAAUCACGUUGAUCAAUAAGGCUCGGCUUGUACUCUAAUCACAAAAAAAUAUAUAGAAACAGUAAACAGUCGUCGUAACAGUCAUCGUACAGCGAGAAUUCGGCCGUGUCCCAAACGCUAAAAUUCACGCCUACUUACUUUAACAUCAGCCAUUUUGUAAAUAAAAUUUAAAAAAUCCCAAACACACACUAAAACAUAGCGUCGACUCUAACGAUAUCGUUAUAAGCGUAAAUGCGGUGUUCUUUCGAUUUUUUAGGAUCAGCGUGGUGCUGUUUUUAGCUUCAGAGAAACUCUGUACUGCUGCCUGUUGCUUUAGCAGUGGGAAAUGGCGGCAAAAUAAAAUCCAAAGUUAUCUCCGACAUGGUGCUGGAGAUGUCGGAUGUGUUUGGCACCGCUAUGUGUUAGCUAGCUAAGUUAUAUCGAGCACGAAUAUAAUUUUAUUAACCAUCCUAACCACUAAGUAACAAGUUUUCCCGCUAACUCUAUUGUUUGCUAUUAGCGUUUGUGAUACAGCCUUUAAAUAGAUUCAUUUUUUUCUGACCGAAUGUCGAGCAUGUUGUGAUCAAAACCACAUCACUGCCACACUUUUUUCAAAUUUUAUUAUUUUUCACGCGAGAAAGAGAAGGACGAGACGUACGGCUUGUUUGGCACACAGCGCCCCCUACGGAGCUGGAGGAAUUUACUUCUUUUUUUUUUUGUUGUUUUUUUUGCAAUGUUCACACCACCAGCCAGUGAUGAAGCUAGAAGAAAACAGAAAACACAUGAGAACAUCACAUGCAGCUCUUAGGAUUUGUUUUGGUCAAGUGCAAAAGUUAGCAUCCCCUAAGAAGUAAAUGAAGAAAAAUUAUAUGAAAGAAAAGUAGUUUUUUUUUAUUAUUAUUAUGCAACAAAAAUGGUUAAAUUGUGCACGUUUAAGACAAGCUUAAAAGUCUCAUCUGAACGUACCGUGAACUGCCGCACUUCACCGCGCUCCACCAGGUGAUGCUCCGUCUCUGGCGUGAUUGCAUACGCCAGUUUCUACAACCAGAAAACAAAUGAUUCAAAACAAUUUAGUCAUAAGUUGGCGACACUCGAAACAUUUCGAAACCUUCAGGGUUCUGUGGUUGUGCCUCUGAGGGAACCUUACAACAAAGUGAUGUCCUCUCGUAAAUGGUUCCAAGCAGGAUCCUUUAGGAAGCUAAGAAGCCAGAGAACACUUUAAGAACCCCCUGAGGAA